UACGUAGGGUGCGAGCGUUGUCCGGAAUUACUGGGCGUAAAGAGCUCGUGGGUGGUUUGUCGCGUUGUUCGUGAAAACUCACAGCUCAACUGUGGGCGUGCGGGCGAUACGGGGCAGACUAGAGUACUGCAGGGGAGACUGGAAUUCCUGGUGUAGCGGUGGAAUGCGCAGAUAUCAGGAGGAACACCGGUGGCGAAGGCGGGUCUCUGGGCAGUAACUGACGCUGAGGAGCGAAAGCGUGGGGAGCGAACAGG
rnacentral:rRNA from 1 species